rnacentral:rRNA from 1 species
CCUACGGGAGGCAGCAGUGAGGAAUAUUGGUCAAUGGACGAGAGUCUGAACCAGCCAAGUAGCGUGAAGGAUGACUGCCCUAUGGGUUGUAAACUUCUUUUAUAAAGGAAUAAAACGAGGCACGUGUGCCUUUUUGCAUGUACUUUAUGAAUAAGGAUCGGCUAACUCCGUGCCAGCAGCCGCGGUAAUACGGAGGAUCCGAGCGUUAUCCGGAUUUAUUGGGUUUAAAGGGAGCGUAGAUGGGUUGUUAAGUAAGUUGCGAAAGUUUGCGGCUCAACCGUAAAAUUGCAAUUGAUACUGGCAGUCUUGAGUACAGUUGAGGUAGGCGGAAUUCGUGGUGUAGAGGUGAAAUGCUUAGAUAUCGCGAAGAACCCCGAUUGCGAAGGCAGCUUACUAAACUGUGACUGACAUUGAUGCUCGAAAGUGUGGGUAUCAAACAGGAUUAGAUACCCUAGUAGUC